GACGAACGCUGGCGGCGUGCUUAACACAUGCAAGUCGAACGGAAAGGCCCUGCUCUUGUGGGUUGCUCGAUUGGCGAACGGGUGAGUAACACGUGAGUAACCUGCCCUUGACUUUGGGAUAACUUCAGGAAACUGGGGCUAAUACCGGAUAUGAGCUCCUGCUGCAUGUUGUGGGUUGGAAAGUUUCGGCGGUGGGGGAUGGACUCGCGGCUUAUCAGCUUGUUGGUGGGGUAGUGGCAUACCAAGGCUUUGACGGGUAGCCGGCCUGAGAGGGUGACCGGCCACAUGGGGACUGAGAGACGGAGCAGACGCCUACGGGAGGCAGUAGUGGGGAAUAUUGCAGAGUGGGCGGAAGCCUGAGGCAGCAACGCCGCGUGCGGGAUGACGGGCUUCGGGUUGUAAACAGAUGUGGCAUGUGACGAAGAGUGAGUGACGGUAAUGGGUAAAGAAGCAACGGCUAACUACGUG
rnacentral:rRNA from 1 species